UGCUUAUCGAGAAAGACCGAGGGAAGGGCCCAAAGACGUCUUAGCAACCUGUCCUCAAGGUGCUAACUCCCAUUCUGGAAAAACCGGAAACAGAUGAGCG
rnacentral:ncRNA from 2 species